rnacentral:rRNA from 1 species
GGACGAACGCUGGCGGCGUGCCUAACACAUGCAAGUCGAGCGGAGGGGAUAGGAGCUUGCUUCUUGAACCUUAGCGGCGGACGGGUGAGUAACACGUGGGUAAUCUGCCCUUGAGAGGGGGAUAACAGGUCGAAAGGCCUGCUAAUACCGCAUAACGCUAAGAUGCUGCAUGGCGUCUUAGCCAAAGGUUAAUUCCGCUCAAGGAUGAGCCCGCGGCCCCAUUAGCUAGUUGGUGAGGUAAAGGCUCACCAAGGCAACGAUGGGUAGCCGGCCUGAGAGGGUGGUCGGCCACACUGGGACUGAGACACGGCCCAGACUCCUACGGGAGGCAGCAGUGGGGAAUAUUGCGCAAUGGGGGAAACCCUGACGCAGCGACGCCGCGUGAGCGAUGAAGGCCUUCGGGUUGUAAAGCUCUGUCUUCCCUGACGAUAAUGACGGUAAGGGAGGAGGAAGCCACGGCUAACUACGUGCCAGCAGCCGCGGUAAUACGUAGGUGGCGAGCGUUGUCCGGAAUUAUUGGGCGUAAAGGGUGCGUAGGCGGCUCUUUAAGUGGGAUGUGAAAUCCCUGGGCUCAACCCAGGAACUGCAUUCCAAACUGGAGAGCUAGAGUGCAGGAGGGGAAAGCGGAAUUCCCAGUGUAGCGGUGAAAUGCGUAGAGAUUGGGAGGAACACCAGUGGCGAAGGCGGCUUUCUGGACUGUAACUGACGCUGAGGCACGAAAGCGUGGGGAGCAAACAGGAUUAGAUACCCUGGUAGUCCACGCUGUAAACGAUGGGUACUAGGUGUAGGGGGCGAAGCCUUACUGUGCCGCAGCUAACGCAUUAAAGUACCCCCCGCCUGGGGGGAGUACGGUCGCAAGAUUAAAAACUUCAAAAGGGAAUUGACGGGGGCCCGCACAAAGGCAGCGGAGCAUGUGGUUUUAAAUUUCGAAAGCAAACGCCGAAAGAAACUCUUUACCAGGGCUUUGACAUCCCACCCGAAACCCCUUGUGGAAACACGGGGGGGGUGCCUCUUCGGGGGGAAACGGUGAGACAAGGUGGUGCAAUGGGUUUGUCGUCAAGCUCGUGUCGUGAGAAUGUUGGGUUAAAGUCCCGCAAACGAGACGGCGAACCCCCCUGCCCUUUAGUUGCCCAGCCAAUUUCGGGUUGGGGCCACUUCUAGGAGGGGACUGCCUGGGGUUUAACCCAGGGAGGAAAGGGUGGGGAAUGACGUCAAAAAUCAAUCCAUGCCCCCCUUAUGCUCUGGGGCUACCACCACGUGCUACCAAUGGGCCG